CCUACGGGAGGCAGCAGUGAGGAAUAUUGGUCAAUGGACGAGAGUCUGAACCAGCCAAGUAGCGUGAAGGAUGACUGCCCUAUGGGUUGUAAACUUCUUUUAUAUGGGAAUAAAAUGUUCCACGUGUGGGAUUUUGUAUGUACCAUAUGAAUAAGGAUCGGCUAACUCCGUGCCAGCAGCCGCGGUAAUACGGAGGAUCCGAGCGUUAUCCGGAUUUAUUGGGUUUAAAGGGAGCGUAGGUGGAUUGUUAAGUCAGUUGUGAAAGUUUGCGGCUCAACCGUAAAAUUGCAGUUGAAACUGGCAGUCUUGAGUACAGUAGAGGUGGGCGGAAUUGGUGGUGUAGCGGUGAAAUGCUUAGAUAUCACGAAGAACUCCGAUUGCGAAGGCAGUUCACUGGACUGCAACUGACACUGAGGCUCGAAAGUGUGGGUAUCAAACAGGAUUAGAUACCCGUGUAGU
rnacentral:rRNA from 1 species